AAAGGACCCUGCAGUCAUUGGAAUUGCUAAAAACCCCUUCCUGGGAGCGAAGGGGCUGGCAAACCCAGAGGAGUGGAGAGGGUUAGGAGACUAACACGGCUGCUACUCUGAAACAUGAUAAAACAGAGAAGCAGAAGACUGUCUGAGACUGCUGGAGAGCAGGAACUUUGAUACACUCGCGCUCUCCCCCGCAAAGGGGAACUACUACAGUGACCUAGUCAGAGGGCUGAGUCAUGAAGAGGACAGCUGCAGCUCCUGAGGGUGAGAGAAGGGCUGUAGAGGAGAAAUUGGGGGGGGGGGGCAUAACUGCUGGCAGGGGCAUCUCCCUGACCAAGCUAAUCCCCAGAACUGCUAGGAGGUGGUACCAUCCCAUGUGUAAAUGAAGAGUAACUACACGGAUGUCAGUGGAGUUCAACCAGUGUAAAGUGAGAGCAAAAACAGUCUUCCUAUCUACUUGAGACACAUGCCUAUGGAGGCAUCAAUCUAGGAGUUCUGGUCAAGCUGGAGACUCCGAAAUAACAUAUUCACAUUUUGAAGCUGACUGAAAUAUAGAAGAUCGGGAUGUUUGUUGGUCACUUCAGAGUAUUUUAGAUCUUGUAACAUACCUGUUAAGCCAAUGGCUUAAGAUCUUGGAAAAUCCUAAUAGGAGACAUAUGGGUAUUGUUUAUACAAUAAGUUGUUAGAAGGUUACUGCUGAGACUGGUACAAUCAUAAUUUGACUAACACUUAGUGAUCAUAGUUAUACAUUAGGCCACUGGCUUUUUUAAAGCAACACUGGAACAACAAACCAGUGUGUGCUUGAGCUGACUGGGGGGAAAACAGGGUGUAAGAGAGAUAGUGCUUGAGGGCUUAACUCUUGUGGCAUGACAUGACCCUGCCUCCAUUUUCCUUCUGAGUGGCGGGGGGUCUUAAAGAUUCCACACAGCCCAAAAGGGAGCAGAAAGGGUUCUAUUUUGAGUCCAAAUACAUUUAAAUCAAGUUUCUUCCCCCUUGGCUUUAGGGGGUUGCAUAACCUUUCUCCUUGGGGCCUGUUUCCCCCAGUCCUAGACUCCCGGCCAGUAAUAUCUGGAAUUCUUCUCCCUUCAGGGUUUUGUUGUCUGAGCACCUCCCUGCAACUGAAACCUCUUGAGGCCCAGCUACUCCUUGGUAAAUUAACUGACUUGCUGGGCUCCAUCUCUUUAAAUUAGCUCCUCACAGGUAGCCUGAGCCCAGGCUGUCCUUAAAGGGACUAACAGCUUUGUGAAAUGGGCAGGGAAUUGAAAAAAUAAAAUUGAAAUGUUUCCCCUGACUUUUUUUCUAUUCAAAAAUUGAAAUAUUGCCAACUUCAAUUUUGCAAAACUGUAACCAGCUCUACAGGUCCUUAAAAUGGAAGGGAGGUUUGCAAACCUUUCAUCAAAA